rnacentral:rRNA from 1 species
GAUUGAACGCUGGCGGCAGGCCUAACACAUGCAAGUCGAGCGGUAGCACAGAGAGCUUGCUCUCGGGUGACGAGCGGCGGACGGGUGAGUAAUGUCUGGGAAACUGCCUGAUGGAGGGGGAUAACUACUGGAAACGGUAGCUAAUACCGCAUAAUGUCGCAAGACCAAAGUGGGGGACCUUCGGGCCUCAUGCCAUCAGAUGUGCCUAGAUGGGAUUAGCUAGUAGGUGGGGUAACGGCUCACCUAGGCGACGAUCCCUAGCUGGUCUGAGAGGAUGACCAGCCACACUGGAACUGAGACACGGUCCAGACUCCUACGGGAGGCAGCAGUGGGGAAUAUUGCACAAUGGGCGCAAGCCUGAUGCAGCCAUGCCGCGUGUGUGAAGAAGGCCUUCGGGUUGUAAAGCACUUUCAGCGGGGAGGAAGGCGGUGAGGUUAAUAACCUCAUCGAUUGACGUUACCCGCAGAAGAAGCACCGGCUAACUCCGUGCCAGCAGCCGCGGUAAUACGGAGGGUGCAAGCGUUAAUCGGAAUUACUGGGCGUAAAGCGCACGCAGGCGGUCUGUCAAGUCGGAUGUGAAAUCCCCGGGCUCAACCUGGGAACUGCAUUCGAAACUGGCAGGCUAGAGUCUUGUAGAGGGGGGUAGAAUUCCAGGUGUAGCGGUGAAAUGCGUAGAGAUCUGGAGGAAUACCGGUGGCGAAGGCGGCCCCCUGGACAAAGACUGACGCUCAGGUGCGAAAGCGUGGGGAGCAAACAGGAUUAGAUACCCUGGUAGUCCACGCCGUAAACGAUGUCGAUUUGGAGGUUGUGCCCUUGAGGCGUGGCUUCCGGAGCUAACGCGUUAAAUCGACCGCCUGGGGAGUACGGCCGCAAGGUUAAAACUCAAAUGAAUUGACGGGGGCCCGCACAAGCGGUGGAGCAUGUGGUUUAAUUCGAUGCAACGCGAAGAACCUUACCUGGUCUUGACAUCCACAGAACUUUCCAGAGAUGGAUUGGUGCCUUCGGGAACUGUGAGACAGGUGCUGCAUGGCUGUCGUCAGCUCGUGUUGUGAAAUGUUGGGUUAAGUCCCGCAACGAGCGCAACCCUUAUCCUUUGUUGCCAGCGGUCCGGCCGGGAACUCAAAGGAGACUGCCAGUGAUAAACUGGAGGAAGGUGGGGAUGACGUCAAGUCAUCAUGGCCCUUACGACCAGGGCUACACACGUGCUACAAUGGCAUAUACAAAGAGAAGCGACCUCGCGAGAGCAAGCGGACCUCAUAAAGUACGUCGUAGUCCGGAUUGGAGUCUGCAACUCGACUCCAUGAAGUCGGAAUCGCUAGUAAUCGUAGAUCAGAAUGCUACGGUGAAUACGUUCCCGGGCCUUGUACACACCGCCCGUCACACCAUGGGAGUGGGUUGCAAAAGAAGUAGGUAGCUUAACCUUCGGGAGNGGCGCUUACCACUUUGUGAUUCAUGACUGGGGUGAAGUCGUAACAAGG